CCUACGGGAGGCAGCAGUAAGGAAUAUUGGUCAAUGGGCGCAAGCCUGAACCAGCCAUGCCGCGUGCAGGAAGACGGCCCUAUGGGUUGUAAACUGCUUUUGAACAAGAGAAAACCUCGGUACGUGUACCGAGCUGAUAGUAUUGUUAGAAUAAGCAUCGGCUAACUUCGUGCCAGCAGCCGCGGUAAGACGAAGGAUGCAAGCGUUAUCCGGAUUCAUUGGGUUUAAAGGGUGCGUAGGCGGCCUGAUAAGUCAGUGGUGAAAUCUCUCAGCUUAACUGAGAAACUGCCAUUGAUACUGUCGGGCUUGAGUACAGAUGAUGUGGGCGGAAUAUGACAUGUAGUGGUGAAAUACUUAGAUAUGUCAUAGAACACCGAUUGCGAAGGCAGCUCACAAAACUGUAACUGACGCUGAGGCACGAAAGUGCGGGGAUCAAACAGGAUUAGAUACCCUGGUAGUCCGCACCGUAAACGAUGAUUACUCGUUGUUGGCAAUAUGACCGUCAGCGACCAAGCGAAAGCGAUAAGAAUCCACCUGGGGAGUACGCCGGCAACGGUGAAACGUCAAAGGAAUUGACGGCNGAGACGAGCGACGGACGACGACGAGGGAGGAGG
rnacentral:rRNA from 1 species